GGCUUCAUAGUUCAGUGGAAGAGCAUUGAACAAGAAUCACAAAGGUCAUGGGUUCAAAUCCCAUUUAGCCUA